ensembl:lncRNA HCP5 HLA complex P5
AGAUUCUCCCCAGACGCCAAGGUUGCGGGUCAUGGAGUCCCGAACCCUCCUCCUGCUGUUCUCGGGAGCCGUGGCCCUGAUCCAGACCUGGGCAGAUUACAAUUACAAUCAAGGCAGAAAUGAUCUCAUUUUUACAUUACAACUCUGGAAAAGGCAAUAGACUGAGAUGCAAGUGUGCCCCCAAGUGAUGGGCAGAAGGAGAGAAGGUGUUUUGGAUGCAUUCUAGAACACAGGAAUGGUCCUGCUUUGGUGUCCCUGGUGUGACCCAUCACCCGCUGGGAACAGCCUGAGAGAAGUAGGGCCUCUGCACCAAUGCUGCUGAGGAUGUCAGAGCACAGGAACGAGGCCUUGGGAAAUUACCUGGAAAUGCGACUGAAAUCUUCCUUCCUGAGGGGUCUGGGCUCUUGGAAAUCAAACCCUCUCAGGUUGGGUGGCUGGACGAUUCUCCUCACACUUACAAUGGGA